UUCAAGUGGGUUGUUAGGCAAUCGAUGUUUACCGAAUUUUUUCUUCUUCAGUUUGAUUUCAGUUGUGCUAGAAGAAACAGCCUUAUUAGAGAAUUUCUCAGCUUUAUCCUUUUGCUGCAGUUUUUUGGAUAUUGCAGGAGCUUUGUCGAUCGUCCUCAGAAGCUCUUCAUUUUUCUUUUGCUCAAGUAAUCUAAGCUCCUCCUCUCUUCUUUGGCGUAUCUUAUUUCUUUGAGACCUGGUUUUUCGUUUGUUCUUCGAAGAAGGGAUCGGAGUUUCUGCUUGUUCGUGUUCAGACUGGUCAUCAGAAUCAAUGCUGUGAUUAACGUCUUGGUCUGAAACUAAUCCCUUGUCUUCAAAAGCUUUCUUCUGUAUUCUUUCCUUUUCCUCUAAUUCACUAAUUCUUUUCUGUUCUUUCUUAAGUUCCUCUGAACCUUUGGUAUCAAGUAGCUUCAUCCAAGCUGCAGCGUCAGGAUUGUAUGACAUUCCUGGAUCAGCGAUAACAACAUUUGGGACUUUUGCAUUAUUCUCAGUUAAAGAUUCGGGUAGUUUAGAUAAUGUAGAAGGUCUUUUAACAGGUAUAGUAACUGUUGGGUUUGUUUCCCAAACAUCAUAACUUUCCUUUGGUUGUUUGGUAUUUUUGAGCUCACUAGCAGCAGAAGUUGCGGU